rnacentral:rRNA from 1 species
ACGGAGGAUGCAAGCGUUAUCCGGAUUUAUUGGGUUUAAAGGGUGCGCAGGCGGAAUGAUAAGUCAGUGGUGAAAGCUUUCGGCUUAACCGGAAAAUUGCCAUUAAUACUAUUGUUCUUGAGUACAGUUGAGGUAGGCGGAAUGUGUAAUGUAGCGGUGAAAUGCUUAGAUAUGAGGCAGAACACCGAUAGCGAAGGCAACUUACAGGGUUACAACUGACGCUGAUGCACGAAAGCGUGUGGAGCAAUCAG